rnacentral:rRNA from 1 species
UGCAGAAUCCCGUGAACCAUCGAGUUUUUGAACGCAAGUUGCGCCCAAAGCCAUCCGGCUGAGGGCACGCCUGCCUGGGCGUCA